rnacentral:rRNA from 1 species
UACAGAGGUCUCAAGCGUUGUUCGGAUUCAUUGGGCGUAAAGGGUGCGUAGGUGGCGCCGUAAGUCAGGUGUGAAAUCCCGGGGCUCAACCCCGGAACUGCACUUGAUACUGCGGUGCUUGAGUACUGGAGAGGAGAUUGGAAUUUACGGUGUAGCAGUGAAAUGCGUAGAGAUCGUAAGGAAGACCAGUGGCGAAGGCGGGUCUCUGGACAGUUCCUGACACUGAGGCACGAAGGCCAGGGGAGCAAACGGG